rnacentral:rRNA from 1 species
UGGUUUGAUCCUGGCUCAGAUUGAACGCUGGCGGCAUGCUUAAUACAUGCAAGUCGAACGGUAACAGGUUCUUCGGAAUGCUGACGAGUGGCGCACGGGUGAGUAACGCUUAUGCAACCUACCUUUAACUGGAGGAUAGCCCCGAGAAAUCGGGAUUAAUACUUCAUAAUAAUAUAAAACGACAUCGUUUAAUAUUUAAAGCUCCGGCGGUUAAAGAUGGGCAUGCGUGACAUUAGAUAGUUGGUGAGGUAACGGCUCACCAAGUCAGCGAUGUCUAGGGGUUCUGAGAGGAUUAUCCCCCACACUGGUACUGAGACACGGACCAGACUCCUACGGGAGGCAGCAGUAAGGAAUAUUGGUCAAUGGACGCAAGUCUGAACCAGCCAUGCCGCGUGCAGGAUGACAGCCCUAUGGGUCGUAAACUGCUUUUAUAAAAGAAGAAACCUUUCUACGUGUAUCAGACUGAACGUACUUAAAGAAUAAGCACCGGCUAACUCCGUGCCAGCAGCCGCGGUAAUACGGAGGGUUCAAGCGUUAUCCGGAUUUAUUGGGUUUAAAGGGUCCGCAGGCGGGGUCUGUAAGUCAGUGGUGAAAGCCUUCAGCUUAACUGGAGAAUUGCCAUUGAUACUGCUGACCUUGAGUUCGGUUGAAGUGGGCGGAAUAUGUAGUGUAGCGGUGAAAUGCAUAGAUAUUACAUAGAACACCCGAUAGCGAAGGCAGCUUACUAAUCUAUAACUGACGCUGAUGCACGAAAGCGUGGGUAGCGAACAGGAUUAGAUACCCUGGUAGUCCACGCCGUAAACGAUGUUCACUCGUUGUUGGCAAUACACAGUCAGCGACUAAGCGAAAGUGAUAAGUAAUCCACCUGGGGAGUACGAUCGCAAGGUUGAAACUCAAAGGAAUUGACGGGGGCCCGCACAAGCGGAGGAGCAUGUGGUUUAAUUCGAUGAUACGCGAGGAACCUUACCUGGGCUUAAAUGUAUAUAGACAGUCAAAGAGAUUUGAUUUUCUUCCGGAACUAAUUACAAGGUGCUGCAUGGUUGUCGUCAGCUCGUGCCGUGAGGUGUCGGGUUAAGUCCCAUAACGAGCGCAACCCAUAAUUCUAGUUGAAAUCAGGUUAUGAUGGGGAAUCUAGAGGAACUGAAUACGAAAGUAGUGAGGAAGGUGGGGAUGACGUCAAAUCAGCACGGCCCUUAUGUCCAGGGCUACACACGUGUUACAAUGGUCGAUACAAUGGGCAGCUACCUGGUGACAGGAUGCUAAUCUCCAAAGUCGAUCUCAGUUCGGAUCGAAGUCUGCAACUCGACUUCGUGAAGUUGGAUUCGCUAGUAAUCGUAGAUCAGCAAUGCUACGGUGAAUACGUUCCCGGGCCUUGUACACACCGCCCGUCAAACCAUGGAAGUUGGGGGUGCUUGAAGUACGUUACCGUAAGGAGCGUCCUAGGGUAAAACCGGUAACUGGGGUUAAGUCGUAACAAGGUAGCCG